rnacentral:lncRNA from 1 species
UGAUAACCUUCCUGGUAAACAAGACGGGAAUGAAUAUUAUAGAGUAAAAGGUAAAGUAACUUAUUAGAUUUUGGUCUAUUUUUUCUAUAUUAAUUCUUCCUGGAUUACGUUUUCCAUUUCACUGAAUAAUAGUCUGGUCUAAGGAUGUUAACUGUCAUAAAGAGUGUUAUUUCAACUUUCGUUCUGAGCUGGCUAUGGCAUAAUUAUAUAUAUAAUAUAAUCAGAGACAUAUAAUACGUCUCUGAUAUAAUAUAAUCUUUAUUCUCAUAAACCAUAAGGUACAACGGUACAGAGAUAUGCAUACACAUAGCAAUGAAAACAAACUUAUUUAUAAUAACAUCUUAUACACAAACAUACAUACACACAGAAAAAGGGAGAAGGUUUGGAUCCAUUAAAACGUUUAAUCCCGCUGCAAAUGUUUGCACCUGUCCUAAGUCAGGAAUCUGAUGUACAGAAUCUGAUUUGGUCAGUUCUACCUAGAACUGAUUUAGACAGUUCUAGCUAGAACUGAUCCUGACAGUUCUACCCUAGAACAGUUUUAGACAGUUCUCAUGGUUCUAGCUAGAACUGACCAAAUCUUUGGUCAGUUCUACUUCUAGAACAGUAGUUCUACGGUUGGAACUGAUUUCAAAUUUUACGGCUAGAAUUGAUUUAUAAAUUCUACGGCCAGAAUUGAUUUAUAAAUUCUACGGCUAGAAUUGAUUUAUAAAUCCUACAGCUAAAAUUGAUUUAUAAAUUCUACGGCUAGAAUUGAUUUGGUUAAAAUUUAAGAACUCUUUGUCUAAAUAUAAAGGCUUCGGCAAAAUAGCGAUUAAUAUUAUAAAGAGUUUUGCUAUUUUGCCGGUUUUAACCCCGCCAUAUUCUGCAUGUAUGUGACUGUUCCAAGUCAGGAGCCUGUUAUUCAGUGAUUUUCUUUUGUUGAUGUGUUACAUAAAUUAUUUGUUUUUCUUUCAAUUUUUUUAACAUAAAUUAAGCCGUUAAUAUGGGGGGGGGCAUUAUUAUUUCAUUUAUUUUACAUUUGUCAUUCGGGGAGUCAGGAUGACUCGUUUUACAUAACAAAAUUAUCUGACCUUAAUGAGGGGGGAUAGGAGGGGUCUUGAUCCCGAAAUCCCGGAUUUAAAAAAACGAAAUCCCGAGGUCCCGAAUUUAAAUAAAGCAAAUCCCGAAAUCCGAAAAAAAGGAUUCCCGGAUCCCGGAACGGUCAAUCCAGAAAUCCCGAGCUUAAAAACACCCGAUUCCGGAGUCCCGAUAAAGGUCCUAUCCCCCCUCGUAAUACGUUAUUCCGGCCCAAACCACCAGGGACGGGUCCAGCAGUUUAAAAAAAAAGGGGGGGGGGUCUAACUAAAAUUUAUUGUCCUCAUUCAAAUGCAUUGAUCGUCCAUAAAAAGUGUGCUGUACAGUAAUUCAGUUAUAAUUUUAGGUCAAGAGGGACUGUAAUAUAUCAAGUUAUUAGCAAUAUUGGAAAACAAUGACCUCAAAUUUUGUACGCAUGAAUUUAUAGUGCCAGCAUGUCCUCUUUUUAUUCAAAGUAUUGAAUCGUAAACAAAUAUCAGUAGUUUUCAUACUUCAGACUGAGUCGUGAAAUAAAAUCUUUUGACCGCAUUAAUCUAAACUGACCUUAUUUGCUCUUUCGUUCUGCAAAUCUAUAUAGCUGUACAGUAAUUCAGUUAUAAUUUUAGGUCAAGAGGGACUGUAAUAUAUACAAGUUAUAGCAAUAUUGGAUAACAAUGACCUCAGAAUUUUGUUCGAAUGAAUUUAUAGUGCCAGCAUAUCCUCUUUUUAUUCAAAGUAUUGAAUCGUAAACAAAAAUCAGUAGUUUUCAUACUUCAGACUGAGUCGUGUAAUAAAAUCUUUUGACCGCAUCAAUCUUAACUGACCAUUAUUUGCUCUUUCUUUCUGCAAAUCUAUAUAGCUGUACAGUAAUUCAGUUAUAAUUUUAGGUCAAGAGGGACUGUAAUAUACAAGUUACAGCAAUAUUGGAAAACAAUGACCUCAAAAUUUUGUUCGCAUGAAUUUAUAUUGCCAGUAUAUCCUCUUUUUAUUCAAAGUAUUGAAUCGUAAACAAAUAUCAGUAGUUUUCAUACUUCAGACUGAGUUGUACAUGUAUAAUAAAAUCUUUUGACCGCAUCAACCAAAACUGACCAUAUUUGCUUUUUUUUAUGUGAGUCUAUAUAGUUGCACAGUACUUCAGUUAUAUUUUUUUUACUGUAGUAUAUAUAAAUAACUGCAAGAUUGGAAAUUGAACAAACAUCAGUAGUUUUCAUACCUCAGACUGACUCAUGUAACAAAAAUAUGUGUCUGCAUCAAUCAAAACUGACCAUAUUUGACAGCAUCAACAUGAUCAACCAAAUCUGACCAUAUAUGACUGCAUCAGCCAAAACUGAUCAUUUUGCUUUUUUUAAUGUAAAAAAUGCGCGAAGCGGGUUUUUUAAUAGUGUGCACCACAUUUUUUAUGUUACACUGUAUUUCGAAUAGACAGAAAAAAAUGAUAAGUCAUUUCUUAUAAUCUAAUUCUAAAUUCCAUUUUAAACCUUGCCAACCUGAAAAACGUUGAUGAAUUACUGUCACAUGACUAACUUAUGUCUAUGGGCGCUGAUAACACAAUAACGCAGAGGCCCGUUACAUCCAAACUUAAAUUAUUAAAAUAAUGAACCGUCACAAAAAGUGACUUUUUUAAGUCAGUGUCAUGGUAGUUCAUGAUGUUUUUUUUUAACAAAACAUUUAACGGAUCAUCCAACACUCACAUCACUGAUUCAAUACUUUUAUUUUAAAAUGAAAGUACAUGUAUGAGAGUUCUCUUUCUUGAAAGGUACAUGUAUAUACUGACUAUACUGUUAUAUAAUUUGAGAGGAAAAUGAUGGUUUUGUUUGUAGCCUUACGUCCGUGGCAAAUAUUUCAUUCAUGUUCAGAUCGAGUAUUUUUUCUGAUGUUCCCAGAUCCAGAUUUAUUCAUUAUCGUUAUGGAUAAGUUUGGCACGAGAUAAUGCAAAUCUGAGACCUCAGUGCAAUGUACAUAGUUUUCUUGCGUUUAAAAAACUGUUCAUUACUAUGAUACCCAUAAUUCUCCACUGUACAUUUUGUUUUAACAUUUGUCAAAACAGAAUCUUAAAUGAAUGUAAAUUCAAGGCAAAACAAGGUAAAUUAAGAUUAAAUUUACUUGAAUUAAAGCAGAGUUAUAUUUACGAAGAGACUGUUAAAAACGGAACGAAGAAACGUAAACAAUGAUGUUUCAUUUGCAUUCAUAAAAAUUUUUCUCCGAUGAGUUGGAUAACCCCUAUCCACUUCGAUAUUUGUACAUGUAACCAUGGUAACUUUUGAUCAGUAAAAAAUAUAGAAACAUCUGCUAUUAUAUAUAGCAGGGAAUUGCAUAUAGUAAAGUAAUUGGAACUGAUUUUUUGUUCUAAAUUCUAAAUUGCCCUUUCUGCAGUGACGUCAUUUAGAACUGUUCUACAGUCCUGACUGAUUUAGUCAGUUUUAAGAUUUGGUUGCUUUAUCUGUUGACCCCUAUUCAAAGAUUCCAAUACUCUUUCGGGUCGGAAGUUUUCAUAUAUUUUAAGUUUACUACGCAUUUGCUUUCUAUACUUUUUACUAUUCGCAUCGAGUGUCUUUUUAUAUCGUUUCUCUGCUUCUGAAACCUCUCGUUUAAGUGUAUCUGUUUUUCUAAACUUAAGCUUUCUUUUUAGUUUACCAUAGUUUUGUUUUUCGAAUCUACAUUCUUCGUUAAACGAACUUGAAGGUUUAUCUCCCUUAGGCUUCUUAUUUGUAGAUUUUCGUUUUUGGGUAUCUUUUCGGGAACCAAAAGUAUUCUUUGCACUUUCAAUAAAAAGAUUGCUUAACUUUAUCCUUAUCUAAAUUGUCACUCAAAGUUUCUUUCAAAUCAGUAUACAAAACUUGAAGUUUUUCUUUAUCUAUAUUAUCAACAUAUAAUUACAUUAGAUGUAUGUUUCAUUAUAAUACGUUAUUCUGAGCUAACUAGAAUCACGUGAUUUCCUUAAUCAAUUGCACUACACAAUAACUUUUCAUCAUGAUGCACGAGGUCCCACAAUAAAGUGCACAGGAAACGAAUAACUUGAUAAAGGCGUGUUUUCAUGAUCUAUAGCAUCAGUGGUCAACUUUUGAGCAGAAGUUUUUUUUGACACGUCCCACUUUUUAACUCUACAGCUAACUGAACUAUCGCAUGUAUUGUCAAUUUGGUCAUUGACAACGGUAAAUUCAUUCAUGUGUAAAGUAGUGGUAAUUGGAGAGUGAACAUCUGAGUAUAAACGUGAAAACUCUUUAACUUUAAAGUUUGAUACAAAUUUAAGAAAAUCAUAUGUACAAAUACAGUAAUCAAUAACGCUGGUAUUUUUACAUGUUAAUUUACCAGAUUCAUGUUUAUCAUCACCAAUACGACCAUUAACAAUAAACAGGUCGUUACCUUUACAUAAUUCUAAUAAUUUCUGACCAGAACGGUUUUUUACAGUAUCCAUACUCUUUCUUUUUCUGUCAAUAUUAAGAGUCUCUAAGCAAUUUAAAUUAUCUUGUAUAAAUUCCGAAAAAUCUUGCUCGUGUUCAUGUGUUUCGAUCUCAAAAUAAUCUGGUUCAUCUGCAGUUCUGCCAUUAAAAUCGCCCAAUAAACAAAUAUAUUUAAAAUUUUGAGAAAAGCUACGUAUUUCAUUUUCAACUUGAUCGAAAGUAUCUGGCUGGUGAUAUACGGAAUUUUCUGGCGGGAUGUAUACUAUACCAAAGACAACAUCCUCAUCUAUUUUUGAAAAAAACCGAAGAGAGUUUGAACCAGAAUGUAUAUUUUGAAUCUGUUUCUAAUAGUUCUAAAUAAUUAUUAAGUUUUUCUUUAUAUGCUAGAAUAAUACCACCAGAUUUUUUCCCAUAUUUUUGUCUGUUUUUCAUAUGAAAAAUAAAACCAGGAAGAUUUAUUGUAUCUAAAUCAUCAGUCUUCGUUUCUUGCAGACAAAUUAUAUCAUGAUCAUAUAAAAGUUCACAAAAUUCAGGGUACUGAAGACGCUUAUUUAUACCACAACAGUUCAGACUUAAAAUAUCUAAUUUACAUUUGUUUUCAAUAAUACAGUUUGUGUCACUAUUUUCUAUUACAGGAUUAUUCAAUACAAUUUUUUCACUCGGUUUGGCUUUUGAAACAUGUAAAUUAUUUGUAUUUAUAGAGUCAACUGUACAUGAAUUUACUUUUACAUUACAUUCAUUUUCAUCAACCAAUAGAGAUUUACUGUUAAUGUUUGCAAUAUCACCAAUACAUUUAUCUAUGUUACAACAAUUAGAUAACAGACUUGAGUUAGAGUCUCGUGAGUUAUGUUGUUCUCCAAGGCAUCCCUAGUAUCCCCUGGGAGUGGACGAGCUUACGCGUUGACGUUUUGGGGGUUGUCUAGAGCCACCAUUGGUCGGUGUUGUCCAAACAUCACAAUCGUGGUUGUUCAGUAUCGUUCAUCAUUUGGCUUUCGUCGGCUUCACUGUACGGUAUAUAUAGUUGAUUGUCUAUAUAAAGGCGAUCUCGGACAAGCACUACCUUUUUCCCUUGACGUUUAGCUUCCUUUUGGAUAGGAUACAAUAGUUAUGUAUAUGAUAAUUAAGGUUAAGUCCCAGUUCCACUUAUUAUUUUCAUUUAUGAUGGCUUUGUCAUAUACAAGAAUCUUUUAAACUAUACUUGUUGUAAUCACUCAGUUAACAAACUGUUUUGGUGUAUGUCAUGUUGUAUGCACAAUUGAACGUUAAUUAACUUAUUAAAAUGUUUAGCUGAUUUUACAGAGUUAUCUCCCUGUAGUGUUUGGUACCUUCUUUAACAUAAAAACAAAGUAAGAGUAACCAUUUAGAUAGCCUUUCUCAAAAAAAAAGGAUUUGUUUAAUUAAAUCAAGAACAGUAACUCUCUAUUUUAAUUGUAAAAUGUGUUCAAAUAAAAGUGAUAGCUUUUCUAAAAAACUAGCCGUCUCAUAGAUGAUGGAAUAAGAAAAUUAUUUCGUAUGGUAAUUUAAGUCGUGCAGAAUGUAAAGUGAAUUACAAAAUCUAAUAGUCUUAAAUACAAACUUGGAGAGAUUUACUGAUAAUUUAUUUCUAUUAUAUGUACAUGUACAAAAACCAGGUAAAGGGGAGAUAGAGGGGUAAUUAUUCAAUUAUUUGCGUUUGUAUUUUUGUUAUCAAUUAGUUUACUUAUUUUCAGAUACGUAAUUCAUUUACUUCUUGCUUUAUUUGUUGUUUAUUUCUGUGUAUGAAAAAAGUACAUUCACUUCCGUUUGUAAAUGUUUUAUUCAUAGUAGCUCUAGAAAAGUGUAGAAAGAGUGAAAUGUGUAAAAUGUGAUCAUAAAAGAACAAAAAAAAAACGGAUUUCUAACAUCUUAUCAAAAUGAUCCGUAAAACUUAUAUACACAAAUCUUGUAUGUGUCUUGUGUUUUAUGCAUGAUGAAAACAGAUAAUUUUGCUUUUUGUUGUUCAAAACUAUACCCAACUAGGUAACACAUCAAAAGAUUUUCAUGACGUGGCAAUCCGCUAUCUUUAGUCAAGUUUUCUCUACUUCUCCCCGAUUACAAGUCGGAAUCUGCAGUUGAAUGUAAUGCAUCUUAAGCAAACAGGAGGCCACUCUUUUGGCAAAAAUAAAAGUCCAGGAAAACUGGAUUGGUAUUAACAAAAUAAAAUCAGCGAAAGGCGAAGAUACAAUUAUGUCUCCCCAAUUUUAUAUUGACUACUCUUCACCUUAGUUUACUGGACGUAAGUUCAUUCCAUUUUACUACUAGUAUUACACAAAUGUAUAUGUGAAAAUCAAUUAACUUUAUAAAUGGACCAAGGUAGUUUGAACUACAGAUAAAAUAUAUUUAAACACAAAUGCUGCAUGAAAAAUAAAAGAUUGAGCUAAAUAAUGAAACUUUGCAUGCCUAUGAUAUGUAAAAUAAAAGAAAUGAAAAAAAAAACACUGAUCAGCUGAGGCUAUAUAACACCAAAUAAACAAAUAGAUACUAAAGGUUUGCUAGCUCCGGUAAAUAAGACAUCUUUUUAAAUACAAAAUUGGCAAACAAAAAAGAGGUAUAUCACAGUUAUAUUAUUUUUACUUACAGCCAUCUAAAAGCGAAAAAAAUCAUUAUUGUGAAUAUGAAUGAAAUGAUUUUAGAAAAUUAAAUAAAUUGAUCUAUUUGUCCGAUUGAACUGUGACAUGCAUUAAGUUUAGUCUUUUAAUACAUUUAUAAUUACAUUUAUUUGUCUAGUUAAUGAACAAAGAGGGGCAAAAUAUACCAAAGGGACAGUCAAACUCAUAGAUUGAAAAUAAACUGACAACGCCAUGGCUAAAAAUUAAAAGACAAACAGACAAAUAUUAGUACAGAAGACACAACAUAUCUAUAGAAAACUAACGAGUAUGCAACACGAAAACCCAACCAAAAAUCAGGGGUGAUCUCAGGUGCUCCGGAAGGGUAAGCAUAUCCUGCUUCGACAUGUGGCUCCCGUCAUGUUCUUAUGUUAUUACAAAUCAAGUAAAUAGUCUAAUUUGGUAGGUCACAUUCGUGAAAAGGGAAGGGUAUUGUAGUUACGGCAUAAGGAACAAUAAAUUAUAAAUCAACAUUAUUUAACUUUUAAAUUACUAAAAUCUGAACUCUUAUUCUUUUUACUUAGUACUCGGUUGGUAAAAUUUUGCCCGAAAACCCCAAAUCCUGUAUAUUGACAGGUUGACUUAUGAGUCCGUCUACGAUAAUCCUGCUCGAAAUAUUUAUGACCGCAAUGUCAGAUGGUCGAUGGAAAUAAGUGGCUCUUCGGUAUUGCGAUAAACAACUGUGUGUUUCAAACAAAUACUCGUCGUACGUUUUAAAAACCUUAAGAUAGUAAGCUUGAUAUUUAAACUUAUUUAAAACUAUGUUAUUCAGGUAUAUAUUUUAAUUUUCCACUGUCGCUAAAAAAAAGUUAAAACGACCGAUUUAUAUCAGUUUAUUAAAGACAACAGUAGCUAUAGUAUACCGCUGUUCUAAAGUCAUCAAUCGAAUCAGAGAAAACAAAUCCGGGUUAUAAACUAAAACCGAGGGAAACACAUCAAAUAGAAGAGGAAAACAUCGAAACAACAGAAACACUGACGUGCAACAAAAAACAAAAGACAAUACAACAUACAUAGAAACAACCUAUAAGAUAACAACUGCCAUUUUUCUGCACAAGCUGCAACUAAUAUGAUAUAUUUUUAUUUCUGGAAAUGAAAUACUUGUGUUAAUGAGAUAAAUAAGAUUGAUGUCAAUUUAGGAAUAUUAGAUAUUUUAAAAUGAAGCCAUCGAUGACGUGAUUGGUGGAUAUUGUUGUCUUAAGUAUAGGAAGAUGUGUGCAAUGUCUUACAAAUAACAAAAAAGUUUAUAAAACUUUAAAAUUAACUAAACAUGUUUUAAACUUUAUAAACAACUAUUGUUAUGACUUAUCAUUAAUGAUUGCAUUUUUUUGUAGUGUAUGUUAAAUGGCGACAUCCUCUCAAAGUUGUGGAGUUUGUGACCUCCGUCACAUCACAAAACCAUCCAUAGUCUGGUGUACAGAAUGUGACGAGGGACUCUGUACAGAAUGCCAGGAACAUCAUGGUCUGUCUAAAGCAUCCAGAAGACAUAAAGUGAUUCCUAUUAUUGAAUACCAGAAAUUACCACCCGAUGUUCUUAAAAUUACUCAGUAUUGUAGCAAACACGAUGAAAAGUUUCAAAUUUAUUGCAAGAAGCAUGAAUGUCCCUGCUGCAGCAAGUGCAUAGUGGAAAGCCAUUCAGAAUGUCGGGAUAUCGUAAAUUUAGAUGACGUCAUUCAUAAUGUCAAAACCUCCAAUGCCUUGUGCGAGAUAGAGGAAACAUUAGUUGAAGUUGCAGAAAAUCUACAAAAAGUUCGUCAGCAUAUACAAGACAAUCGAUCGAAUUUGAAAGAUAAGAGAAUGGAAUUAGAAAAAGAAAUAAAGAAGACCCGAAUAAUGAUCAACCACCAUCUCGACAAACUACAAGAAGAUUUUCUGAAACAACUCUUUGAGGUCGAAGAAAAAGAUAACUCGAAAAUUUGUCAAUUAGUUUCAUCCUUAGAGAUAAAGGAAAAAGAAAUAGCAGAAUACCAGAGAAAUGUUUCGAACAUCAAGCAACAUGCGACGGACCUUCAGUUGUUUCUUUCAAUGAAGCAGAUAGAAAAAGACGUAAAUAGCAAAGAUAAAUUCCUACACUCGCUUGUAGCAAACGAGGGGCAACUAUCUCUUUCAUUUAAGAUCAACGCCUCUAUCAAAAAUAUCAUGUCCGAUAUAAAAAGUUUUGGAGAAGUGCAUAUUGAAGCAAAACCGUACGAUAUUGUUCUAAUCGAGAAAAAGGCUCAACAAGCCCAAAUGAUGAUACAAUCAAGAUCCAUUGAAAAUUUGAAACUAAUGUUACACGAGACAAUUAACACUCAAGGAGAAUGCAUAUGCGGAUGUUGCAUGCUGCCGGAUGGUAGAAUGGCCUUUACUUUCUACUUAACAGACAGUAAACGUAUUCAGCGACAAAGGAUUACAAGACUUUGAGGUGAAGUUGCCCGUUUUCCCGUUUGAUAUAGUAUACAUAAGUGAGGACAAUACAUUAGCUGUUUCACAACUGAUUCAUCAAAGUGUAUUACCAUUAUAGACGUGGAGAGGAAACAAAUCAAGAAAACCAUUUCACUUGAUUCGUUCAGUUAUGGCAUAGCACUAAAAGAUAAUCGAUUGAUUUAUUCCGGUGGAAACAAAGGUAUACGAAUGAUCAAUCUCAACGACGAAUCUACAAGUGACAUAGUUCGGGACAACAUGCUAACUCUCGGUUACAUUGCAACUUUUAAGGACAAAUUAUAUCACACAAAUAGUGGAAAAAAUACAGUUACGUGUUAUAAUCUACAAGGUCAACUACAAUGGAAAUUUCAAAAUGAAGGCGUUCUGCAGAAACCUCAGGGUAUUGAUGUAGACAAUGAUGGCAAUGUGUACGUAGUGGGGAGUGAUUCACACAACGUUGUAGUUAUCUCCCCUGAUGGAACACGCCAUAGAGAAAUAAUCACAGCAAGUGAUGGUCUAGAAGAUCCUAUGUCAAUUCAUUAUAGUGGUUUUAAGAAUCAGUUGUUAGUCGCGAACUGGGAAAACAACGCUCAUUUGUUUAGUUUUAUCUGAAGAGUUAACAGUUCAUUAGAUCAUUAUCUUAGAUAUUCAUAUAUAAUAACUGGAAUACAGAAACCUGUUUUGUCUAUUUUG